AUGAAAACUUACAUCAAGCAGAGAGUACAAUCAUGUUUGAUCUGUCAAAAAGCUAAACCAGAGAGGAUCAACUACCCUGGACUACUUUCUCCCUUGCUAGUUCCAAGAAAAGUUUGGGAAACUGUUACAAUGGAUUUCAUAUCUGGACUACCAUGUUCUGAAACUUUUGAUUGCUUGAUGGUAGUUAUUGAUAAAUUCACUAAAUAUGGGCAUUUCAUUCCCCUCAAACACCCUUACACAGCUUCCAAGAUAGUUGAGUUAUUCCUGGAUAACAUCUACAAGUUACAUGGGAUGCCAAGGUUUAUAGUAUCUGACAGGGAUACAGUUUUUACCAGUGAAUUCUGGCAACACCUCAUUAAACGAAUUGGGUCAGUACUGAACAUGAGCACGGCUUAUCAUCCCGAGACGGAUGGGCAGACUGAGAGGGUGAACCAACAAGUGUAA
rnacentral:rRNA from 1 species